AGGGAGGGCUGGGCAGGGUCACUUGCCUCACUUUCCCCUCCAGAGCCAUCUAGGGGAGGUCAAUCUAAUCCAAGAAGCAUAUUUCCCAUCUUUUGCCUCUCUCUCUCCUUCAUUUCAUUUGUAAAUAUCUUUCUUUUCUUUCCUACUCAGGGACUGUUUGAAAGAAAAAAAGGGGAGGACUGAGGAGAGAGAGUGAAAACUAAUACAUCAACUGAGGAUGAUGGGAAAUGCAAUGUUUCAAACCUAUGGGCUCUCCCUUUACUUUUUUAAUGAAGGAAGGGAGGAUGGAGCUUCAACUAUCAUUUAAGUCUUUACCUUGUACCAAGGACUGCAUCAGGUGCUGGAGAUACAGAAAUAAAACAAGUCCUGCCCUCGGGGAGCUUACAUUCUCCGGUGAAGAAGGAGGAAGCAAAAGACCACAGUCAUUCCAAGAAGGGGAGAACGUUACCAAAUGGGCUUUGAAUGAGGUGGCAACUGAAAUGAAGAUGGGCCUAUGGAAGAAGCAUAGGAACAGAGUCUUGGAGCUGAGGGAGACACUUCAGAGGCCAUCUCCUCCAACCUGUUCGUUUUUUCAUCUUUUUUUUAAUGAUAUAAAUCCAUUAACCCCUUG